UACUCAGGUGAAUAUGAUAUGUUUGUGAUGUUACUCUGAGUGUAUAUCCAAGUGUAACAUCACAAACAUAUCAUAUUCACCUGAGUA